UGUAACUUGGUGAAUAACGCUCUGAAGGCAUCACAGACUGCCUGCUUGUCUCUGCAGUGCUCGGGGCUUUUCUGAGCUGCAGGCUCGCUGCAGCCCCGUGGCAUAGCCUUGCAUCUGGUGACGAACUGAAGCUGGAGAAUCCUGGCAGCAGAGGACGCUCCUGCCCCACCGAAGGGCUCACAGCUCCACCGCAGCUCCACCGACCUCAGUGCUGGUGAGGAGGCUGAGAUGCCUCCAAGUGAUGAAUGCAGUCCACCCAACCUUACACCUCGUGUGGUUCACUGUGCGAGGCGACCAGGAAGAAAGGUGGGCACAGACUCCUCUCUGAUCAGCUGUGAAGAUGGUGCCUUGUGGCCUUAUUCCCAUCUGGGAUGGAUCGUUCUACAAUGCUGUGUGUCCCAUUGGGCCAAAAGUACUGGUUUGGUGCUGAAAUCCAACUCCAUUCCUCACCAGCUGUAUUCCCAAGAAAUCCUCCUUCCCCAUCCUCCCCAAGCUCCCAACUUCUAUCUCCAACUGAUGUGCAGAAAUCAAACUCUAUAACCACAGAGUGGUUAUAAAGCAGGUAUGUUUAAUCAGCGCUGCACACACGCUGAAUGCAGAGGGGGUAUUCCCACCUAGCCUGCAUACCAGAGGGCAAGAAAGGCACAUACUUAAAGAACAAGCUGCUUACAUAUGCAUUAGGAUAAGGAUAGGAUAAGGGGGAAUAUGUUGAGUCAUUCAUGCAUCUACUUACAAGUUGGGUCAUCCCAUUAUGUGCUCCAAAUAUGAGGUUGAAUUUUGGUCCUAAAAUAAUAGUGCCGUUAGCAGCAGCUUCCUCACCUGCCCCUAAGCAAAUGGGCUCCCUCUGACCGCUUUUAUAUUUGUGCUGAGCAGGUCAAUUUAGUGACGGGACCCCAAAGCAUGGUACGUCCAUCCCUGCCUUUGGUAGUCAUGUGCAGAUCCAGCAAUCAGAGAAGUUUGAAGUCUUAGCACAGUUACUAAUUACACUGUAAAAGGAGCUCUCUUCCCAGGCCAGAACACCUCCCGCGUCCAUUGAGAUAAAGCAAAUUAGUAACCAGCUCAUCUUGUCUUGAUGAGUUUAACUUUUGACGGUGCACUUUCCUUGGCAGACCCCGGCAUCUUGGAAUAACCUCCUGCAACAAUACUUACCUCACAUGCCUUAUUAGUCCUACAAGGGAAUGCCUCCAGCCACCCUAAAAAGCUAU
ensembl:lncRNA